rnacentral:rRNA from 1 species
ACGGAGGUGGCGAGCGUUACUCGGAUUCAUUGGGUAUAAAGGGCAGGUAGGCGGUUUGAUAAGUGAGAGGUGAAAUCCCGGAGCUCAACUCCGGAACUGCCUUUCAAACUGUCAGACUCGAGGUCGGGAGAGGAAAGCGGAAUUCUCGGUGUAAGGGUGAAAUCUGUAGAUAUCGAGAGGAACACCAGUGGCGAAAGCGGCUUUCUGGUCCGAUUCUGACGCUGAACUGCGAAAGCUAGGGGAGCAAACAG